rnacentral:rRNA from 1 species
AUGCAUUGGUUCGCAUGGUGGAAAUUGUGUAUACCGAAGAAGAAAGGGGGAUUGGGGUUUAGGGACCUUCACAGUUUAAAUCUUGCUAUGUUAGCAAAACAGUGUUGGCGACUUCUCCAAAACCCAGACUCUUUGUGUGCACAUGUCCUCAAAGCGAAAUAUUAUCCAGAUGGAAAUUUGUUAAAAGCUGACCCAAAGAAGGGAUCUUCCUAUACUUGGCAGAGCAUAGUGGCAGGGAUCCAGACUUUCAAUAGAGGGUGUAUAUGGAGAAUUGGGACGGGAUCUCAGAUUGACAUAUGGAAUGACCCCUGGAUUCCAGCUAGUGUAACACGGAAGGUAAUCACACCAAGGGGUGUGCUAAUGCUCUCAAAAGUUGUUGAGCUUAUUAAUCCGCAUACUGGCAUGUGGGACGAAGUGCUCUUGAGAGACUGCUUCUCACCAGUUGAUGUAAAUCGGAUUCUACAAAUACCCCUAAACAGUAAUAUCGAGGAUGAUUUCGUAGCUUGGAAUUAUACUAGGUCAGGCACAUUCUCAAUGCGCUCAGCAUACUACAGAGAACUUGAUCAUCAGAUCGGGACUAGGCUCUCAAGGUCGGAUGGACAAGGAAGUAUCCAGGUAAAUGGUAUAUGGAAAGAUGCAUGGAAGCUCAAAGUUCCUGGGAAAGUAAAACACUUCACUUGGAAGGUUCUACAUGGGGUACUGCCAUGCUUGGGGGUAUUGGCUGCUCGCCACAUUCCGAUAAUGCCACAGUGCCCGCGAUGUAGGAUUGGAAUGGAGGAUAUCCAACACACCUUGUUUACUUGCUGUGACGUCCAGGUUGUUUGGGCUCGGCUGGGGCUGCUUGAUACACUUCGGAGGGCGAUUGCUGAAGAUAGAUCAGGGUCAGUAACGAUGGAAAUUUUAAUCAAGCUGAAUUCAACAACAGAUGGCUUGCCGACUGCGGAACUAGUUUCUGUAACGGCAUGGUUUUUAUGGUGGCAGCGUAGGCAGCUAGCUAAAGGAGUGCAGGUGCAAUCACCUGAGAGGACGGCCAUAUCUAUCAAAGCUCUAGCAACAAACUACACAAGAUCGCUCACUCCAAAAUUGCCAAUGAGGCCGAGGGAUCAUAUGUGGAAGAAACCUUCCUAUGGCAUGGUGAAAGCUAACGUCGAUGCAGCUUUUCAUGCAGACACACUCUCGGGAGCAAGUGGAGCUCUUGUUCGAGAUGACAAAUGA